GUUUUCCACUCCCUCUUCCUCGCUAUCUCUCCUUCUUCUUCCCUAUAGUUCCUCUACUCCUUCUUCCUCUCUCUCUUUCUUCCCCUCCCUCGAGUUUCCUACUCCUUCCUUCUCUCUCUUUCACUUUCACUCCCCUUCAGUCCUUCUUGGCGAAUCUUCCCAGAAAGAGAAAGCCACGAUUCACAUCAAGACUCAACUCUUGCUAAUUGCUAAUUAUAAUUAAUUAAUUAAUUAAUUAACUAACAGAAUGAUCACAGACGUUCAGUUAGCCAUUUUUGCUAAUGCUCUUGGUGUUGGGCUUUUCCUGUUGGUGGUUCUCUACCAUUAUGUAGCAGUGAACCAUCCGAAGAAAAUGGAAUAGCACAUGUUACCA